rnacentral:rRNA from 3 species
UACGAAGGGGGCUAGCGUUGUUCGGAAUCACUGGGCGUAAAGCGCACGUAGGCGGAUCUUUAAGUCAGGGGUGAAAUCCCGAGGCUCAACCUCGGAACUGCCUUUGAUACUGGGGAUCUCGAGUCCGGGAGAGGUGAGUGGAACUGCGAGUGUAGAGGUGAAAUUCGUAGAUAUUCGCAAGAACACCAGUGGCGAAGGCGGCUCACUGGCCCGGAACUGACGCUGAGGUGCGAAAGCGUGGGGAGCAAACAGG